rnacentral:rRNA from 1 species
AUUGAACGCUGGCGGCAGGCCUAACACAUGCAAGUCGAACGAGUGGUGGACGGGUGAGCAAUGUCUGGGAAACUGCCUGAUGGAGGGGGAUAACUACUGGAAACGGUAGCUAAUACCGCAUACCAUCGGAUGUGCCCAGAUGGGAUUAGCUAGUAGGUGGGGUAAAGGCUCACCUAGGCGACGAUCCCUAGCUGGCCUGAGAGGAUGACCAGCCCCACUGGUACUGUGGCACGGUCCAGACUCCUCCGGGAGGCAGCAGUGGGGAAUAUUGCACAAUGGGCGCACGCCUGAUGCAGCCAUGCCGCGUGUAUGAAGAAGUCCUUCGAGUUGUAAAGUACUUUCAGCGGAGAGGCGUUACCCGCAGAAGAAGCACCGGCUAACUCCGUGCCAGCAGCCGCGGUAAUUC